GAUGAACGCUGGCGGUAUGCCUAGCACAUGCAAGUCGUACGAGAGUUUUUAACUCUAGUGGCGGACGGGUGAGUAACACGUGAGAAUUUACCUUUAGGAGGGGGAUAACAAUUGGAAACGAAUGCUAAUACCCCAUAUGCUUUUGAGUGAAAUGGAUUUAUAUUUAUCCGCCUAGAGAGAAGCUCGCGGCUGAUUAGCUUGUUGGUAAGGUAAGAGCUUACCAAGGCGACGAUCAGUAUCUGGUUUGAGAGGACGAUCAGACACACUGGAACUGAGACACGGUCCAGACUCCUACGGGAGGCAGCAGUGGGGAAUUUUCCGCAAUGGGCGAAAGCCUGACGGAGCAAUACCGCGUGAGGGAAGACUGCCUAUGGGUUGUAAACCUCUUUUUUCAGGGAGGAAUAAAAUGACGUGUAC
rnacentral:rRNA from 1 species